rnacentral:rRNA from 1 species
GUGGGGAAUAUUGGACAAUGGGCGAAAGCCUGAUCCAGCCAUGCCGCGUGUGUGAAGAAGGUCUUCGGAUUGUAAAGCACGUUAAGUUGGGAGGAAGGGCAGUAAGUUAAUACCUUGCUGUUUUGACGUUACCGACAGAAUAAGCACCGGCUAACUUCGUGCCAGCAGCCGCGGUAAUACGAAGGGUGCAAGCGUUAAUCGGAAUUACUGGGCGUAAAGCGCGCGUAGGUGGUGUUGUAAGUUGGAGGUGAAAUCCCCGGGCUCAACCUGGGAACUGCCUCCAAAACUGCAUGACUAGAGUACGGUAGAGGGUAGUGGAAUUUCCUGUGUAGCGGUGAAAUGCGUAGAUAUAGGAAGGAACACCGGUGGCGAAGGCGACUACCUGGACUGAUACUGACACUGAGGUGCGAAAGCGUGGGGAGCAAACAGGAUUAGAUACCCGGGUAGUCC